rnacentral:lncRNA from 1 species
AGCCGCCUUCAAACACUCUCCUCUCUCAAAACUCUCUUCAGUGCUCCCGAAACCCUAGUGAUCUUCUCCCAUCUUCAACUGCCCUCUCGCCGGAAUCCAUGACUUCUCAGGCCAUGGAUGGCAUGUACUCACCCUCUCUCACCAUUAAGCCUGAGCUACUCGAGGUUUGGAGGCUUGACCUCGAUGAUCUCUUGUCAGAGCCUCAGACUCGUAGAUCUGUGGUUUUCCUGCCAUGUUCCUGCAUAUUCAAUUCAAGCACUAGAAGCUUGAUUCCUGGCCAUUUUGACUCGAGAUCUAAUCUUGUCCUUCCAAG